rnacentral:rRNA from 1 species
AUUGAACGCUGGCGGCAGGCCUAACACAUGCAAGUCGAACGGUAACAGGAAGCAGCUUGCUGCUUCGCUGACGAGUGGCGGACGGGUGAGGAAUGUCUGGGAAGCUGCCUGAUGGAGGGGGAUAACUACUGGAAACGGUAGCUAAUACCGCAUAAUGUCGCAAGACCAAAGAGGGGGACCUUCGGGCCUCUUGCCCUCGGGUGUGCCCAGAUGGGAUUAGCUUGUUGGUGGGGUAACGGCUCACCAAGGCGACGCUCCCUAGCUGGUCUGAGAGGAUGACCAGCCACACUGGAACUGAGACACGGUCCAGACUCCUACGGGAGGCAGCAGUGGGGAAUAUUGCACAAUGGGCGCAAGCCUGAUGCAGCCAUGCCGCGUGUAUGAAGAAGGCCUUCGGGUUGUAAAGUACUUUCGGCGGGGAGGAAGAGAGUAAAGUUAAUACCUUUGCUCAUUGACGUUACCCGAAGAAGAAGCACCGGCUAACUCCGUG